ACUGAACAAUUUUCAAUGAUUUUUGCAAAAUAGUGUUAAGAAGUGUACAGGAAACUUUAUGAACCAUAUAUCGUCUCACAUAAUCAAUUGAACGAUGCUCAUGAACUUGUGCAUGGUUGUUCUCAUAAUGAUCCACGGUGUGGAAAGUUUGAAAUUAGAACAAACUAAAAAGGUCUGGGUGAAGCAAAAAGGUAAAAGUGUGUCCUUUGAAUGUGAGGUAGAAGGCUUGGGCUCUGGUAAUUUUGUCCACUGGUACCAUAAAAAAAAUAAUGGAACAUUCAAAAGAAUACUGUACAUAAGCAAAUCCGGGACUGCUACAUCUGAAGCAACAGACGUUGUCGCUGAUAAAAAAGGAGAUUCAUAUGGCAUAAAACUCUCUAUAAGAGAUGACGAACAGGCUGGGAUGUAUUACUGCGCGAGCUGGGAUAAGAAAGUCUUUGGUUCGGGUACUCGACUUUAUGUGACAGGUCCAGGAAACACGGUUGAGUCACCAAAGGUGUCUGGAUACCUACCGUCAAAGAAAUACAGUGACAAACAUGGCAAACAGACAAUGUUAUGCCAUGCAAGUGGCACGGUUCCUUACUUGGUGAAAUUCACAUGGGCAAAAAAGAGCGAAACAGAAGAAUGGACGGCUGUACCAAAGGAAGAUGUUGUGGAACAGAGUUACAAAGAUAAAAAAAUUGUGACAAGUAUGAUGAUUGUAGAUAAAAACACGGCCGAAAACAACAGCUACCAAUGCACUGUUACCAUUGACGGAAUCACUGAGAACCCCCAAAUUCUUGAAAUGAAGAGAGAAGACAUUAAAACAGCAAAGGGACCUAGCCCAACAUGUCCACCCGACUCUGAGGAUUUGGAUGGAUUUUUUUAA
rnacentral:lncRNA from 1 species